UACGUAGGGGGCAAGCGUUAUCCGGAUUUACUGGGUGUAAAGGGAGCGUAGGCGGCAAAGCAAGUCCGGAGUGAAAGCCCGGGGCCCAACCCCGGGACUGCUCUGGAAACUGUUAAGCUGGAGUGCGGGAGGGGCAGGCGGAAUUCCUGGUGUAGCGGUGAAAUGCGUAGAUAUCAGGAGGAACACCGGCGGCGAAGGCGGCCUGCUGGACCGUGACUGACGUUGAGGCUCGAAAGCGUGGGGAGCAAACAGG
rnacentral:rRNA from 1 species